rnacentral:rRNA from 1 species
UACGUAGGGGGCAAGCGUUAUCCGGAAUCACUGGGUGUAAAGGGAGCGUAGACGGUCAUGCAAGUCUGGAGUGAAAGGCGGGGGCCCAACCCCCGGACUGCUCUGGAAACUGUGUAACUGGAGUGCAGGAGAGGCAGGCGGAAUUCCUGGUGUAGCGGUGAAAUGCGUAGAUAUCAGGAGGAACACCGGUGGCGAAGGCGGCCUGCUGGACUGUAACUGACGUUGAGGCUCGAAAGCGUG